rnacentral:lncRNA from 1 species
CCGGCAGAACCGAUUUUCAGUUGAUAUAUUGAUGAUCGAGAUAAACGUUUAUUACAGAGUUGCGGAAAAAAAAUGGGAGUUGAGAGCUCACUUAGGGUUUUUAAGAAUCUGAGUUAUAUUUUUGUCGGCUAACUGAGUUAGUCUUUUAUACCUAGGGUUUGUGAUGAAGUUCAUCACAGUUGGGCUGAGCCUAAAAGGUUAUUUUAUUGGUCCAGUAUAGACCUUAAUACUCUCCGUCAAGCUGGAGAGUGGAGAUCCAAGAUUCCCAGCUUGGGCAGUGAGACCUGUAACAUUAAUUUUGUUGUUGGUUUUGUUAACAUAUCAACAAGUUGUACGCAGCUGGCCACCUUUUGCAAUUCAAUAUCACCUGUUUUAAAGCGAUCUCUAAUAAUAUGACAGUCUAUAUCAAUGUGUUUAGUGC